AGUGUAACAAUGGGCAUUAAAGCAGCAGCUUUUGUUCGUAAUCUCUUGGCAGCGAGUGGCAGAGAGUUACAACCUGAGCGAGCACAGCAGAGACACAGGGUCCCAGAAGAACUCUGUGCGAACCGUCAUUUUUACAUCGAGUGAUCUCUGCGCACAUCCUGAAUGUAUCCAUGUCACCCGAAUGACACGUUCUGAAGUGUGUCUUUAAAAUUUUAAUUACAAGUUUGCAGUUCUCAAGAACUGUGUUGACCAAGGAGUAGAGAAGCGGACUGCAGUGGUGUGGGCGGGCCUGCUGAUUUCUCCCCGUUGGUACUGAGGGCCAUCUUCUUGUCAGUGCCAAAGAAAAGCCUCACUCGGUCCAUAGAAGGGCCCCUGUGAUGAUGUUGGCCCCACUGGGACAAUCCGGGAUCAUCUUCCCAUCUUAAGGUCUU